GAUUUUCAAGAAAGGAAUAUCAUCUCCAAAUCAUGAUGUGCCAAUAAGCUCCAGUUAGCUGUGGCCUUUUCCCCAGGCGGUAGUCCUGCAAUCUGAAUCCAGGAGAUGCAGCUCUGAAUCCAAUAUUUCAGAAGAAUGAAGAUGAAGCAGACCCAGGAGGAACUGUUGAAGAACCAGCCAGACAGCCCCCCCCCCAAGCUGCCCAACAGGCUGAGCUGUACUUGGUGUUUGCCAACAUGCUGUAAUUUCCAGCCUGGUUGCUGUAGCCACAGAGGAAUUUUCAAGGACAAGAACCAGUGCUGGUAAAACUGUGGUCUCGUGUGAUUGUCCAUACCGGCUCUCGGCAAGGAUUUUCAAGAAAGGAAUAUCAUCUCCAAAUCAUGAUGUGCCAAUAAGCUCCAGUUAGCUGUGGCCUUUUCCCCAGGCGGUAGUCCUGCAAUCUGAAUCCAGGAGAUGCAGCUCUGAAUCCAAUAUUUCAGAAGAAUGAAGAUGUUAGUCAACUCUGUAGUACUUGUUUGUGUGUAAAUGAUUCCAAUGAGUGAGAUUUAUAGCAAAUCAGGUGUAAAUAAGCAUCUU